rnacentral:rRNA from 1 species
UGGGGAAUUUUGGACAAUGGACGCAAGUCUGAUCCAGCCAUGCCGCGUGCGGGAAGAAGGCCUUCGGGUUGUAAACCGCUUUUGUCAGGGAAGAAACGAGUUUCUCUAAUACAGAGACUUAAUGACGGUACCUGAAGAAUAAGCACCGGCUAACUACGUGCCAGCAGCCGCGGAAAUACGUAGGGUGCAAGCGUUAAUCGGAGUUACUGGGCGUAAAGCGUGCGCAGGCGGUUAUGCAAGACAGAUGUGAAAUCCCCGGGCUCAACCUGGGAACUGCGUUUGUGACUGCAUAACUAGAGUACGGCAGAGGGAGGUGGAAUUCCGCGUGUAGCAGUGAAAUGCGUAGAUAUGCGGAGGAACACCGAUGGCGAAGGCAAUCCCCUGGACCUGUACUGACGCUCAUGCACGAAAGCGUGGGGAGCAAACA